UACGUAGGUGGCAAGCGUUGUCCGGAAUUAUUGGGCGUAAAGCGCGCGCAGGCGGCUUCCCAAGUCCCUCUUAAAAGUGCGGGGCUUAACCCCGUGAUGGGAAGGAAACUGGGGAGCUGGAGUAUCGGAGAGGAAAGUGGAAUUCCUAGUGUAGCGGUGAAAUGCGUAGAGAUUAGGAAGAACACCGGUGGCGAAGGCGACUUUCUGGACGAAAACUGACGCUGAGGCGCGAAAGCGUGGGGAGCAAACAGG
rnacentral:rRNA from 1 species